GGGCCCGCACAAGCGGUGGAGCAUGUGGUUUAAUUCGAUGCAACGCGAAGAACCUUACCUACUCUUGACAUCCAGAGAAGCCAGUAGAGAUACAGGUGUGCCUUCGGGAGCUCUGAGACAGGUGCUGCAUGGCUGUCGUCAGCUCGUGUUGUGAAAUGUUGGGUUAAGUCCCGCAACGAGCGCAACCCUUAUCCUUGUUUGCCAGCACUUCGGGUGGGAACUCCAGGGAGACUGCCGGUGAUAAACCGGAGGAAGGUGGGGACGACGUCAAGUCAUCAUGGCCCUUACGAGUAGGGCUACACACGUGCUACAAUGGCGCAUACAGAGGGCGGCCAACUUGCGAAAGUGAGCGAAUCCCAAAAAGUGCGUCGUAGUCCGGAUUGGAGUCUGCAACUCGACUCCAUGAAGUCGGAAUCGCUAGUAAUCGUGGAUC
rnacentral:rRNA from 1 species